rnacentral:lncRNA from 1 species
UCGGACUAUUGGCUCAUCUCAAACUGUGGUUCUAGUUUAUGUUGAUGACAUUUUGGUUGCAGGCAAUGAUCUCUCAGCCAUAACUGUUCUAAAAAAAUCCCUUGAUAAACAUUUUAAAAUCAAGGAUUUGGGUAAAAUAAAAUAUUUCCUUGGUCUUGAAGUCGCCCGAUCUUUGUCUGGAAUUUUUGUCAACCAAAGAAAGCAUACAUUGGACAUUCUUGCAGAUUCUGGCAAUUCAGGAUCCCAGCCAGCUUCUUCUCCUAUGGAGCAAAAUUUGAAACUUACUUCUGAUGAUGGUGAUUUGCUUUCUGACCCUAGCAUAUAUCGUCGGUUGGUGGGUCGCCUUCUAUAUCUCACUAUCACUCAUCCAAAUAUCUCCUUCUCCGUCAACAUGUUGAGCCAAUUCAUUCAAAGUCCUCGAGAACCUCAUUAUCGAGCUGCUCUCCAUGUUCUACGGUAUUUGAAGAGCACUCCAGCCCAUGAUCAUUUUUAUUCUACUCAGUGUGAUUUUUGGCUUACUGCAUACUCUGAUUUUGAUUGGGCGAGUUGUCCUACCACUAGUCGUUCCACCACUAGUUUUUUUAUCACACUUGGAACCAGUCCUAUCUUUUGGCGCAUGAAGAAACAAUCAAUUGUUUCUUGCUCCUCUGUCGAAGCUGAGUACCGUGCAAUGGCUACAACCACAUGUGAACUUGUCUGGCUCAAGUCUCUUUUACAUGACCUUGCUGUUUUACACCUACAACAUAUCAUGCUUUUUUGUGACAAUGAGGCUGCUCUCCACAUAUCUCGUAACCUUGUAUUUCAUGAACGAACCAAGUAUAUUGAAAUCGAUUGUCACUAUAUUCGUGAAAAAUAUCUUUCUGGACUCAUUGUUCCCACUCACGUCUGCUAAG